GAUGAACGCUGACAGAAUGCUUAACACAUGCAAGUCAACUUGAAUUUGGGUUUUUAACUUAGGUUUGGGUGGCGGACGGGUGAGUAACGCGUAAAGAACUUGCCUCACAGCUAGGGACAACAUUUGGAAACGAAUGCUAAUACCUAAUAUUAUGAUAAUAGGGCAUCCUAUAAUUAUGAAAGCUAUAAGCGCUGUGAGAGAGCUUUGCGUCCCAUUAGCUAGUUGGAGAGGUAACGGCUCACCAAGGCGAUGAUGGGUAGCCGGCCUGAGAGGGUGAUCGGCCACAAGGGGACUGAGACACGGCCCUUACUCCUACGGGAGGCAGCAGUGGGGAAUAUUGGACAAUGGACCGAGAGUCUGAUCCAGCAAUUCUGUGUGCACGAUGAAGUUUUUCGGAAUGUAAAGUGCUUUCAGUUGGGAAGAAAAAAAUGACGGUACCAACAGAAGAAGUGACGGCUAAAUACGUGCCAGCAGCCGCGGUAAUACGUAUGUCACGAGCGUUAUCCGGAUUUAUUGGGCGUAAAGCGCGUCUAGGUGGUUAUAUAAGUCUGAUGUGAAAAUGCAGGGCUCAACCCUGUAUUGCGUUGGAAACUGUAUAACUAGAGUACUGGAGAGGUAAGCGGAACUACAAGUGUAGAGGUGAAAUCCGUAGAUAUUUGUAGGAAUGCCGAUGGGGAAGCCAGCUUACUGGACAGAUACUGACGCUGAAGCGCGAAAGCGUGGGUAGCAAACAGG
rnacentral:rRNA from 1 species